rnacentral:rRNA from 1 species
GACGAACGCUGGCGGCGUGCUUAACACAUGCAAGUCGAACGGAAAGGCCCUGCUUUUGUGGGGUGCUCGAGUGGCGAACGGGUGAGUAACACGUGAGUAACCUGCCCUUGACUUUGGGAUAACUUCAGGAAACUGGGGCUAAUACCGGAUAGGAGCUCCUGCUGCAUGGUGGGGGUUGGAAAGUUUCGGCGGUUGGGGAUGGACUCGCGGCUUAUCAGCUUGUUGGUGGGGUAGUGGCUUACCAAGGCUUUGACGGGUAGCCGGCCUGAGAGGGUGACCGGCCAAAUUGGAACUGAGAUACGGCCCAGACUCCUACGGGACGCAGCAGUGGGAAAUAUUGCACAAUGGGCGGAAGCCUGAUGCAGCAACGCCGCGUGCGGGAUGACGGCCUUCGAGUUGUAAACCGCUUUCGCCUGUGACGAAGCGUGAGUGACGGUAAUGGGUAAAGAAGCACCGGCUAACUACGUG